rnacentral:rRNA from 1 species
GAGGGUGCGAGCGUUAAUCGGAAUUACUGGGCGUAAAGCGCAUGCAGGUGGUUUGUUAAGUCAGAUGUGAAAGCCCGGGGCUCAACCUCGGAAUUGCAUUUGAAACUGGCAGACUAGAGUACUGUAGAGGGGGGUAGAAUUUCAGGUGUAGCGGUGAAAUGCGUAGAGAUCUGAAGGAAUACCGGUGGCGAAGGCGGCCCCCUGGACAGAUACUGACACUCAGAUGCGAAAGCGUGGGGAGCAAACAGGAUUAGAUACCCUGGUAGUCCACGCCGUAAACGAUGUCUACUUGGAGGUUGUGGCCUUGAGCCGUG